UAUAUAGAUGGACAGAGUGGCUCCAUUCAGCUGUGUUCUAUAGAAUUGAAGCAACCGAGGCGACGCCAUCUUUGAAAAUUUGGAGCCAGUUCGAAGUACGCUUGCGCAGUAGAAUCUGAAGCAUGCGCAGUGAAGAGGAGGUCGCGAUCAGACCCGCCCACUCAUCGAGUGAAACACGCCCCUUAUCGAGUGAAACACGCCCCCUUCUCCGUCCGUUCCCCACCACACACACAGGCCGAGUCCGACUCUCUGGGGCUAAACUGGCUGAAACUACAGUGCCCAGUUCGGUCUGGGUAUUUGGAUUUUCUCCGGCAGAAUUGCCCAGGUGUUUUCUCCAGUCCCCGAACGUCCAUCUUAUCCACUGUGACAGGAACAACCACAUUGGACAUGUCGAGCGUAAUAUUGAAUGGUGCAAAUUGCUACUCAUGUUACUGAAACAUGUUUCACAUUUUAAACUUGGCAGUAUAUCCCUGAACUCAAACUUAAACUAUUCUCACGUGCCUUCACUGUAAAUGUUGCUGGACUAGGUUGGACUGUAUGCAUUGGAAACUUACAAUAAAAAUGAAUUACUUAAGUGUU